UCUGGGAUGUGUCAAGGUGCCCAAGAGCCUCAAGUGGACUCCGGGCAGUGUUUACACCCAAAUACAUUGCAGAAUAGAUUACAAAUCAAUAUGGAAGGGUCAACCCUCAAGGCAGGGCUCAUAGGAGGGGGGGAAGAACAUAGAGUCUAAGAGUGAGUGUAAGUUCAUAGAGGGGAAUCAGGGGAGGACCAAGAUAGACUAGUGAUCAUACCCAACAAUAAGGAGUGCCGGCACACCCUAACCAGCCUAUUAGGAACAUUGUUUGGGAGUUAGGAUCCAUCAAAGGAUCAAGACCAGACAUGAACAACAAUUUGGAUGCUGCCAUGCCUGAACCUUAACUCAAACACAUAGAAGGGAAUAUGGGUAUAGGGAUUCACAACAGAUGCAAAGAGAAAAACAUAUUCAAUAUUGAACAUAGACAGCAAAGUAAAUAAGAAUAUUGAAACUAUAAAGUAAACACAUAGGGGUGAAGCUGAAAAGAUAAAUUAGAACAUACCAGUUUCAAAGAAACAAACAAGUAAAACCAUAAGUCUUGUAAACAAUCCAAAAGAUCUCAAAAGAGAGUAGAGUAUUGAAAUUGAGAGGAUAAAGCGAGUAAUGUAAGCUGAAGGUGUGUGUGUAGAAGUAUUGAAUUCAAAGUGUGUCAAAGUGCAGAAGGGUAGUCCCAUUUUAUAGUGCAGAAGACAAGUAGGAAAAGGUAAGAAAAUAGAUUUGCAAUCAAUCACAUAGAAUCCCGCUUCUGUUAAGGGAUUCUGGUUUGAAACAGGUAGAAUACAAUUAAGGAAAAAUUUUGAUUUAAAAAUUUUCCAAAGUAACACAAUAAGGGUAAAUACACAGAAAUUGUUUUAAGGCAAAAGUCCAGUGGUACACAGUUUGGGAAAAUAAGGAAAGGGAAUCAAUCAAAUAAUCAGUAAGCCUUUGUUCGAAUGAACCAAGCCAGAAAAAGGUAAAGAAUAUUCAAUAAAUGAAAAUCAUAAACAAUCAGUCAAACCCUAUUAAAAGGAAUUCAUAAUCAAUCAAUAGUUGGCAAAACUUUUUUUGAAAAAGAGUUUCUUAUAUAUAAAGCACACAAAUAUGUGAAUCAAGAAUGAACUGUCAUGUUACUUAAAAAAGAGUCUAG
rnacentral:lncRNA from 1 species